rnacentral:lncRNA from 1 species
GACCAAUACCUAAGACCCAAGAUCAAGCAUAAAUAAAAAGAAUGCAAUAACUUUUUAUGUUCCAGUUUUGACUAUAAACUAGGUGGUGAGGAUGAAAGAAAACAAGCAUAAGCCACUUUAAUCAUUUCACUUAAAAGGUAAACAGAGCAUUCAGCCAACUCUUAUAUUGAAAAGUUACCAAGCUAUUCAAUUCACCUCUCUUCUCUUACCCACCUUUAUUACAACCUCCUGCCUCCAUUUCAUGCCAUAAGAUUGUCCACACGUUAUUCUUCUAAAGGGCCUUAGGGACAUAUACAGUGGGACUGGGCUGGGCUAUAGCCUAGUCCAACCCCCAUCCCAUUUAAAUUUUUUAUUGUAAAAAAAAAAAAAAAAUUAUGUGUAAAUUCUUAUUUUUACAUAUUAGCCAGGCUUGGAGUUCAAUCCUAGAUCCGUCCCUAUCAAAGUAUAAUUGGAAUCGACCAUACAAGUACUAAAAGUUUAUACUAGCUUAAGCUUAAGCUAUAUAUACAUUUUAGUACUUUUGAACACUUGAAAAUCUUUCUACUAGGUUACAAAAAUGAACACUUCGACGACAUCCUUGGUAUUGAAUUGUCCUUUUCCAAUUUAAGGUUAGGAAGCCUAAAAAUUCUCAUCUUAAAUUGGAUGGCUUUUUUUCCAAAAAAAAAAAAGAAAAGGAAAAAAAAAGGUGUAUUGCUAUCAAUUAAUCGAUUUGAGGCACUCUCUUUUUUAUUAACAUGAUCAAGCAAAAUUGUAUUUUCAUCGGAGAAAGAUCAAUCUUAGAACACGAUUAUGUGAAACUUAAUCUCGAAAGCAAUUGGUGAAGACAUAAGCAAUUGUUGAUCAUAAGAAUGUACAUAAGUGUGUGCAGCUACUUUUCGAAGUUGGAGCAAAUUAGCUUAUUUUCAAAUAAUUCGAAAUUUAUAAAGCAAUUUUAAUUACAUCCAAUCCAAUAGUGAGAAAGAAUU